CAGCCGCCGCGGGAAUACGUAGGUGGCAAGCGUUGUUCGGAAUUACUGGGCGUAAAGCGUGCGCAGGCGGUUAUGUAAGACAGGUGUGAAAUCCCCGGGCUUAACCUGGGAACUGCGCUUGUGACUGCACAGCUAGAGUAUGGCAGAGGGGGGUGGAAUUCCACGUGUAGCAGUGAAAUGCGUAGAGAUGUGGAGGAACACCGAUGGCGAAGGCAGCCCCCUGGGCCAAUACUGACGCUCAUGCACGAAAGCGUGGGGAGCAAACAGGAUUAGAUACCCCUGUAGUCCCUGUCUCUUAUAU
rnacentral:rRNA from 1 species